CAAUAGCGUAUAUUAAAGUUGUUGCAGUUAAAAAGCUCGUAGUUGGAUUUCUGGCAGGGGCGAACGGCCACACACAAUGUGUGUGAGCUUGUUUGUUCCGCCAUCCUUGGUGAGAUCCUAUUUGGCAUUAAGUCGUCGGGUAGGGGAUAACCAUCGUUUACUGUGAAAAAAUUAGAGUGUUUAAAGCAGGCUUAUGCCGUUGAAUAUAUUAGCAUGGAAUAAUAAGAUAGGACUUUGGUUCUAUUUUGUUGGUUUCUGGAACCGAAGUAAUGAUUAAAAGGGACAGUUGGGGGCAUUCGUAUUUCGUUGUCAGAGGUGAAAUUCUUGGAUUUACGAAAGACGAACUACUGCGAAAGCAUUUGCCAAGAAUGUUUUCAUUAA
rnacentral:rRNA from 1 species